rnacentral:lncRNA from 1 species
GCAGGUUGUGAGGUGGAUACAAACAAAGUGGAAUGCUAUCCCUUCUCCCCUUUCCUCUUCCUCCUGCAGUCUGUCUGUGCCCUCCUAGGAUAGUCCUCCCCUUGAGAAAGGGGAAACAACAUUGAGAGGGUGAGGCGGGGAGGCUGCAUGAAGAGCUUGGAAAAGCUUGGUUUCUGAACACUUUAACUAUCGAAGUUUAAGAGCAACAAAGAAGUUACAGUAAAAAGCCUUAGAAGCAAAAGGCAACUUAAUUUAGUAUUUUAGCUUUAAAAAUUAAAAGUAAGGAACAGAAAAUUCUACUUAACCAAAGUAAAAAUCAAUUCAAAAAAUCCAAUUCUAAGUUAUAAUCAUUUAAGGGCAAGAGAGAUGAUGGAGAAUGAAGGAAAAUGAAGAGGGAGAAAUAGAAAAGUGACCUUGAUGCUUGUGAAAUUCCUGUGGAAUUCCUGAGAAGCGCAGGUCUAAUGUAUUCAUAUUAGUACUAUAUAUGAACACCAUUAAUAUAUUAAUCCCAUUUUAAAAAAUGCAACCCUUUAAAAAACCUGGGUACCACUAGAACUUAUUUUUCUAGAAGAGGAAAUUGCUACCCAGAACUUAGAAACCUCAGCAUUUGUAAAUCUCUCUAUCUUUAUUAUUUUAAACUAGAGGAACUCUUACUUCCGGGUAUGAAAGUGGAGAAUGUCGUAUCAUAUGCAUAGAGAAUUGGGUCAAGUUGAAAUGGAUCAGCCCCAUUUCAAGAUUCUUUGGAAUAUUGCCACAUGAGGUGGAAAUAAGUGGGGUUUUCACUUUUUAUAAUUUUCACUAAUGGUAUUACUCCAUGGGGCUGAUGAAAUUAACAAAGUUCCCCUGUCCCUCCUUUACAUGAACUCAAUUCAAAAAGUUGAGGAAGGGCCAGGUACUGCGGCUCGUGCCUAUAAUCUCAGCACUUUGGGAGGCCCAGACAGGAGGAUCACUUGAGGCCAGGAGUUCAAGACCAGGCUAGGCAACAUAGCAAGACCUCAUCUCUACAACAAAAAUAAAAAUAAAAA